rnacentral:rRNA from 1 species
AUACGUAGGUCCCGAACGUUGCGCGAAAUUACUGGGCGUAAAGGGUCCGUAGGCGGUCUGGUAAGUGGAAGGUGAAAGCCUGGGGCUCAACUCCAGAAUUGCCUUCCAAACUGCCGGACUUGAGGCAGGGAGAGGUCGGCGGAAUUCCCGGUGUAGCGGUGAAAUGCGUAGAUAUCGGGAGGAACGCCAGUGGCGAAGGCGGCCGACUGGAACUGUCCUGACGCUGAGGGACGAAAGCCAGGGGAGCGAACCGGAUUAGAAACCCUUGUAGUCC